UCCUCCCCUUCCAGGCUCUCACUGCCUCAAUAACCACUCCUCACCCAUAUCCUCCUACUUUCUUGCAUAUGGCCUGAGUACAUACAUGCCCAUGAGAGAGUGACAAAGAACUUUCAACCCCUCAGCAACUUGGGGGCUCAGCACAGCCCUGGUGGGGGGGGGGGGUGCGCAUGACCCAGAAUUCUCACUUCCUGGGAGGAGGCAGCCUUCUGAGCAGGGGUGACCCCUGUGGGGAAACAAUGGCUGAAUGAGGGUGGGCCUGUGUGUUGGUGUUAGUGUGGGUCUAUGUGGAGGAAGGGCAUUAUGGGCAAGAUUGCCAAGGUCUACUGAUUAAGGAUGCCACAUAUAUAAGGGGGGUGCUGUUUACAACACAGACAUAAUUGAAUUAUAUACUUAUUAUGACAAAAUUGUGGCAGAUGGCAGUAAAAGACCUCAUUCUAGUAAAAAUUGUGCAUCAUGACAAUUUUUCGGCAUAUGGCAAUUAAGUGUCUGGAGGGGAGUGCCUUUUCCUAACCCAGCACAAAGAUACCAUAUGGACCAGCUGCAGCUCUGGGCACAGGCUUGAAAAUCUGGUGGCUUUGGUUUUCCCUGUGAGGCAGAUUCUAGGUUAAACAAUCAAGAGAAGCCACAUCCAGACCUGACAUAAAUCAUGAGAUCCUGCUGUUAUGACUGGAUGAGACUUUGGGAGUCUUGGGGAUAAGUGUAUUUUCUAUGUGAGAGGGAUGUGAAUAAAUGUAGUCAAGAGAGUGGA